rnacentral:tRNA from 1 species
AGUUAAUUAGCUAACUAUAGUAUUUAUUUUGAAAGUAAAAGAAAGAAAUUAAUAUUUCUAUUAACUU